AUUGAACGCUGGCGGCAUGCCUUACACAUGCAAGUCGAACGGCAGCACGGGUGCUUGCACCUGGUGGCGAGUGGCGAACGGGUGAGUAAUACAUCGGCACAUGUCCUGUAGUGGGGGAGAGCCCGGCGCAAGCCGGAUUAAUACCGCAUACGAUCUACGGAUGAAAGCGGGGGACCUUCGGGCCUCGCGCUAGAGGGUUGGCGGAUGGCUGAUUAGCUAGUUGGUGGGGUAAGGGCCUACCAAGGCGACGAUCAGUAGCUGGUCUGAGAGGACGACCAGCCACACUGGGACUGAGACACGGCCCCGACUCCUACGGGAGGCAGCAGUGGGGAAUUUUGGACAAUGGGCGAAAGCCUGAUCCAGCAAUGCCGCGUGUGUGAAGAAGGCCUUCGGGUUGUAAAGCACUUUUGUCCGGAAAGAAAUCCUUGGCUCUAAUACAGUCGGGGGAUGACGGUACCGGAAGAAUAAGCACCGGCUAACUACGUG
rnacentral:rRNA from 1 species